CGAAACCAGUUUAGAGAAUGAUCACCAAUACCUGAGUUUUCGAGUUUGUGCAGUAGAAUGCCGUGGUCUGUGUCAAAGGCCUUAGCAAAAUCAAGGAAAAUAGCUCCAGUUAGGUCUCCUUGUUCCAUGCCAGUUUGGAUGUCAUUGCAAACUUUUAGGAGGGCAGUUGUAGUGGAGUGAUUCUGGCGAAAGCCCGAUUGAUCAGGGGUCAGAUAGUUUAAUUGUUGGUAG